AGAUGAAUAGAAAGUCUACUUCCGGGUGUACAGAGGAAGAUUGCUGCAAGAAAAGCACAGGCCAUGCUGUGGGAUCAGGAUGCGUUAUAAUGAAAAGGAGCUGCUGUCCCUCUCGAGGCAGAGGGCAGAGAAAGCAGCUGAACUGAAUAUGAAAAACCCAAAGAAGGGAAGUGUUCUGAAGAAGCGCCUGGUAAAAUUGGUUGUGAAUUUUCUCUUUUAUUUCUGGAUAGAUGAAGAAGAGCCCAUUGGAGCACUCCUGCUUGAACACUGCAAAGUGGUUAAAGAAGAAGAGAAAGGAUUCUAUAUAUAAUUUGUUGAUGAACCUGAAAGGAAAUACGCAUUUGAGUGUACCUCCCGAGAACAAUGCGAUGAAUGGGUAGAGGCGCUAACUAAUGCAAGCUACGAAUUCAUGAGGAGAAGUCUUCUGUACUACCGAAACGAGAUUCUCAGGAUGACGGGGAAGGACCCAUUGGAGCAGUACGGUAUCUCAGAAGAGUCACGCUUCCAAAUAGAGCCUGCAACUCUCUGAAGUUUCUCCAUAACAGUCCAUCUGCCUGGAGUAGUUCCUCUCUCAGGCACCCUCUUCUUGUCUUCAGGGGCUGAACAUGCACAUCCACAUUUUCACGUCAAGCUUCUAUGACCGUUUUCCUCCAACAGAAAUAAUUCUUUAAUGAUCAGCUGUUGACAGCGUGUAGUUUUGUCAUAUCAGCCGUAUAUUGUUAGCGCCAUAUGUAAGGCCUGUAUAGUACUGUAUGUAGUGUCAAACCAGUUCAUGCCAUUUGUAUUUGCAAGAUACGUAACUGCUCCACUAGUACACAUGUAUACCCCGUGGCUGCCAUACUGUUCUUACUCUUCGUGACAAGUAGACCGGGAAUACAGAGAUUGCAGACACAAUUGUCUUCCGCUGUUCUAUAAAUACCUCAGUGACAAAGAGUAAAUGGACUAAACUGUGCCUUGACAAUCGACUGAUAAGUUAG